rnacentral:rRNA from 1 species
UACGUAGGGUGCAAGCGUUAAUCGGAAUUACUGGGCGUAAAGCGUGCGCAGGCGGCUUUGCAAGACAGAUGUGAAAUCCCCGGGCUUAACCUGGGAACUGCAUUUGUGACUGCAUGGCUGGAGUGCGGGCAGAGGGGGAUGGAAUCCGCGUGUAGCAGUGAAAUGCGUAGAUAUGCGGAGGAACACCGAUGGCGAAGGCAAUCCCCUGGGCCUGCACUGACGCUCAUGCACGAAAGCGUGGGGAGCAAACAGG